rnacentral:sRNA from 1 species
GCCGUCUCUAUACGGGGGUGGUGCGGUC